UGGGGUGUGGCUCAGUGGUAGAGUGUUCGCCUAGCACGAGUGAGACACUGGGUUCAAUCCUCAACAUCACAU
rnacentral:tRNA from 1 species